GUGUACGAGUGGUACAUGCCGAUUCCGAGCACCGGCCACGCCCGCCUGGCGGCUGAUCAGUAGUUUUGUUAGCU
rnacentral:sRNA from 1 species